rnacentral:rRNA from 1 species
AAUAUUGGACAAUGGGGGCAACCCUGAUCCAGCCAUGCCGCGUGUGUGAAGAAGGUCUUCGUAUUGUAAAGCACUUUUGGCAGGGAAGACAAGUCUCUGGCUAAUACCUGGAGCUGCUGACGGUACCUGCAGAAUAAGCACCGGCUAACUACGUGCCAGAAGCCGAGGUAAUACGUAGGGUGCAAGCGUUAAUAGGAAUUACUGGGCGUAAAGCGUGCGCAGGCGGUUCGGCAAGAAGGAUGUGAAAUCCCAGGGCUUAACCUUGGAACUGCAUUCUUAACUGCCGUGCUAGAGUAUGUCAGAGGGGGGUAGAAUUCCGCGUGUAGCAGUGAAAUGCGUAGAGAUGCGGAGGAAUACCGAUGGCGAAGGCAGCCCCCUGGGAUAAUACUGACGCUCAUGCACGAAAGCGUGGGGAGCAAAC